GACGAACCGUGCGAACGUUGUUCGGAAUCACUGGGCUUAAAGGGCGCGUAGGCGGGCGCACAAGUCAGGGGUGAAAGCCCACGGCUCAACCGUGGAAGUGCCUUUGAUACUGUGUGUCUUGAGGGAGGUAGGGGCGUGCGGAACUUCCGGUGGAGCGGUGAAAUGCGUAGAGAUCCGGAGGAACACCAGAGGCGAAAGCGGCCACCUGGACUGUACCUGACGCUCAAACGCGAAAGCUAGGGGAGCGAACGGG
rnacentral:rRNA from 1 species